rnacentral:rRNA from 1 species
AUAUCAAUAAGCGGAGGAAAAGAAACCAACAGGGAUUGCCUCAGUAACGGCGAGUGGAGCGGCAACAGCUCAAAUUUGAAAUCUGGCUCACGCCCGAGUUGUAAUUUGUAGAGGAUGCUUCGGGUGAAGCCACGGUCCAAGUCCCUUGGAACAGGACGUCAUAGAGGGUGAGAACCCCGUACCUGGCCGUCGGCGCCCCCCGCCUGUGAAGCUCCUUCGACGAGUCGAGUUGUUUGGGAAUGCAGCUCUAAAUUGGUGGUAAAUUCCAUCUAAAGCUAAAUACCGGCCAGAGACCGAUAGCGCACAAGUA